CCCGAUCCUGUGUGUGAUUGAGGAGUGUUGGAUGCUAGAAGGGUACAGCUGAUCACCUUUUCCAGCCCGUUUCUCCAGUGUCCACAGCAAGGGGACUUUCAGCUGCGUUCCAUGGACUUGGGGAUCCUGGCUUGUGGGCACCCCGGGCAGGGGAGGGGCCGGGAGCCUCCUCGUUAGCACCACGGACAGCUCGUGAGCCUGGAGGGGGAGGUGGGAGGAGAGCUCGCAGCGCCAGCGCGGGGAGGAGAGAGCGCAAGAGCGGACGGGCGGGGGAGGAAAAGGAGAGGUAAGGAAGGAGGACAGCGGCUCCCAGGCUAGAGGAAGGAAUCUGGAAGCAGUCGGAGCAGCAGGUCUGGGGAACUGUUCAUUUGCAGUGCCUCAGAGUUUGCAGACUCGCAGCUCGCCAGUCGCUCUGGGCGAGGGCUGCUGGCGGAGACCGGACGCCAGAGUUUAAAAUGCAAUGGCCAGAAGACAAGGAAGUAUCACUAGAAUUAUGUGGACAUGGACUCCGGGACUGCUGAUGAUGACUGUGAUCUUUUGGAGUCAGCAAGGGAAUGGACAAGGCCAAGACAGGUCAAGGUUAGAGAAAGAACAAAACAGCACAAGACAGGCAUAUGCGGUCGGGGAGACAAGAGAGCAACGGGGAGAAAAGUAACACUGCAUGGGCUAGAAGCAUAGAUCUUGGAGACCAUCCGACUGGGACCCGUCGCCUUUCUGGAUCUCUGUUCCUCGUCUGUAAGAUCGGGUUACAAACAUCUUGUCUCAUAUAGUCCUUUUGAGAAAUGAGUUGAUUUUUUUAUGUAUUUCUAAUACUGUAUAUUUAAAAAAUAAUUGGAACAUAGAAAAGGUCAAACUUCACUGUUUGUAAAAUAAAAUUAAAUGACAUAAUGUAAGAAGCUCUUUCAAAUAGUAAUGCAAAAUAUGACACAGUUCAACUUUUUAGUCUACAUUAUAAAACUGAUGUUGAAAAGCCCAUUAAUUUAGAAAGUAUGAAAAAUAAAUUAUGCAAUCAAAUUUCAAUAAAUUUUUACUUUUUAAUCUAUUAUCUUUUUCACAAAAGAACGCUUAGAUUUUUCUAAAAGAACAAAUUUAUCCCAUGCUUUCAUAAAUAAAUACACAUUUUCCCCAGAAAACACUAGUUUUUUGUUUUUUUUUUGCAAAGGCAUAAGUAAAUAAGUUUUACAACUCCUCUGAAAUUCAAAUCAUCCUUUUCAGUAAAUUAAAGAAAUGCAAUAUAUAAAAUAUAAAUUAAACAAUACAUAUUUGAUCAAGUUUACUUUCUGUACUUUAAUACUGAUACUGGCCAUUUUAUAUUACUUUGUGAUAUUUAUCUAUUUCAAUAAAAGUGGUUCUUAUCUUUUUGCAUUACCUGUUAGAUGUGUUGCUGCAGUUUUGCUUUAAAAAAAAAAUUUCAGAGUGAAAUAUUUCAGAGCUAGUUUGCGCAGCCCUGACUUCAAAAUCACCAAGAGAGGCUAAGAGCUCUUCAUGUACCUCUUCCCUGUACUUCUAAUUACCCAGUGAUAAGACUUUCUGUUUAAUCUGAUCACUCUGCCAGUGUAGAAAGCUAGCAGACAUACUCAAAGGGAAUUCACAGUGGCUCAUGUGUAGUGUUCUUGCUUUGAGAAUGGGCAGAGCAACUGAGUGAUUCUAAUUAGUACAAAUGGCAAAUGUGAUAGGAUGAUACUUCUAUGAUUAUGUAAUUCUACUAUAUGGCAAAGUGAAGAGAUUUUGCAGAUAUUAUUAAUGCUGUUAUCCAUUAACUUUGAGUUAAGAGAUUGUCUUGGAUAGGUCUGACCUACUCAAGAAAUGACUUAGAAAGGGGAUCUAAAGAUCAGGGAAUUGCUCUCCUACAGAAGAAACAACGGUCCUUGCAUCCUUGCAUUUUUUACCUGCACAGAACCAUGUACAUUGGAAAAAUACCACAAGCCUUAGAUGAUACUUCAGUCCUUUCUGACAAUAGCCUGAAGCCUGUGAUGCCCUGAAUAAUAGACUCAGUUCCAAUAAGCUUGGAUUCCUCACCCAUGAAAACUGAAAUAAUGCUUCAUUUUUAGUGGCUAGGUUUAUGCCACUUGAUUGUGCAGCUAUUAAAAAUAGUAAAAUAAUGACACCACAAUGCCUAUUAAUUUUUUAAAAAACAUCUAGGUGGUCUCUAAACAUCACCAAAAUUACUAAUAAUAAUUAGAGCAGACUAAGCUGUUAUAACAAACACAUGUUCAUAAUGAUUCUACCAUAUAAAGGUAAUUCUUUGCUUGGUGAUUUUUACUAGUGCCACAGAAAUUGGAAAGUUUUGUUUACAGUCACUUCAGACCUCAGAGAACCAAGGGCUGUGCCAUCUCUAACCAUGGUCUUCCAAAGUCUCCCUCUGAGUUCUUCUCUAGUAGGUGUGUUGAGAAGUCUCCUGGGAUACAAUUCAUUUCUGUUCACAUCUCAUUGGCCAGAACAGUCAUGUGUUCCUGGAAACAUAUUUCAAGCCCUUGAACCUUUAUCAGUCAAGAGAAGAAAGCUAAACCACAGCGCAGUGAGACCAUGUUGUUUUUUAUUUUAGUACAUGCAUGCAAUACAUAAUGAUUAUAUUCAUGGCAGUUGGUACAUGACACAUCUUAAUUCUUUUUAUGACCUUUUUGCUCUCCCCCCUCCUCUCUCCCUAUGUUUUAAAGGUGCACUAUACAGUUUCAAAUAGUUGUCCGUAGCAUUUGAUUAUUUUUAUGAUUGAAGUAAAAUUAUGUAUGAAUUGUGAGACCUAGUCCUCUGAUUUUCGUGUAAUAUUUAUUUUCAGUAUACCAUUUUUCUUUUAUUACAAGUAAUAAUCCUCAAUUGCACUUCUCAGGUGUCUCUAUUCAGAAUUUCCAAAGUUUUUCAAAGUUCAGUAAAGCAAAGAGUUGCCUAAAAAGAAAAUCCUUUCAUUGAUCAAUGGUACACCCGGGUAAACAGAUUUACUUACAUGGAAUUUGCUCCACGAAUGAGCCACAAAAGAAUGUUUCAGCAAGAAAUGAGGCUUGCCUCUGAUUUCCAAUAGAGAUUUGAGAUGAAACAGUGUGUGUUCACUUAAUCUUGUUAAAUGUAGCACAAAACACUAAGUGUAUUAGAGCAUGUACUUAAAUGAUAACAAACCCUGCUGUUAAAGCUAAUAGGAAAUAGUUCUUUUCUCAUUGAGUUACCACAAUCAAGCAUUCCUUUAGAUGUCAUCAUUUACUGUGACUUCUUAUGCUUCAAUACAGUAAGCAUUGCAUUUUUAUGCCUUUGUGCUUCUUUAUUGCUAAGCAACAGUUUGCUUUUUUUGUUGUUGUUGUUGUUAAAGGGAUAGUAUUUGGGGACAAUUCUCUGCUCAUAAGAAUACCAACUAAAUGCAAAAUGUGCAAAUAUUUAAACUUAUAUUGGACAAUUAUAAUUGAAAAAUAGCAAUUGGAUCUAUUGAUGACAAUAAUACUAGGUAGUAAAAUAUUAAGACUUUUUCUACUGAGGAUUGUUUUCUGAAUUUAAAUUUAUCUUUGUACCUUAAGCUUUGAGGAGUUUGGGGGAGUUUGGGGAGAGUGGUUCUGCAGAAGAGUAGAGAAAAUUCUUAAAUUCAUCUUUUUCCUCUAGGAGGGUUUAGGUUUACUCUGCCUUGAGGCAGGGUGAUGACCUCUCAGAAUCCCUUCUAGCCCCUAGAAUCUGUGAAGUUAAAAGCAGUUAUAAAAACUUUAAAAUACUUCUUGAAAUACAUAGUUAUAAAAAGACAAAAAUCCCUGAAGCAUUUUUUAACUGAAGAAUCAACAUUGCUUAGUUUCUCCCUGUUAAAUUUAACAAGAAAAAUGUCAAUUAAAACUUUUAAGAAAUUUUAUUUCCAAAAUUCCAUUAGAAUCAAUAAAAAAUAGUAUUCUGCCAAUAAUCAACUGGAUCUAUGUCUAUGGUUUAAGAGUGUUAUUAAACUAACAUUGAAUCUUUCUCAUGAUAAUUAAGGAGGAUAUUGCUAUAUGUAUGUCUUAUUUUUUGUACUCUAGUUUAUUUGAUCAGCAAACUAGAAUAGCCAACUUACUGCAUCAUUUUGGUUUUUGCCCUCUAAUAGUAAUGGAUUGGGUCUACAUUUGAUUUGGCUUUAAUCAGGCAUUUUUUAAACUAUGUUAGCCAAUAUUCCUUAAUCAAGUAAAAGCAAGCCUCAAUAAGAACCUCAAUAUGGGGUGUGUAAGUAAAAGCUGAAGUUCACUAAUGCGAUUUUGAACAUCUAAAUUAAAAAAAAAGGAAAACCCUAAUCCUAUUAUAUAUUACCACUUUAUAGAAGCUUAACAAAGUAAUCUAUAUCUUUCCAGUUUUCUGGGUAAAAUUUUUUUAAAAGCUUAAGAAAAGUAAUUGCUAGGCAAUAUUUCAUUUGUUUUGUUUUUAUUCACGAUUUAAUUCUCAAGCCAUCUUGUUUAGGUUUAGGAGCUGAAUUUUCAGUUAUAAUCUCACAACUGUAUUGCAUAUCUUUUUGUAAGGAUUAUGUAAGAUGUACUGUAAGAGAAACUAUGAUUCCUAAGAAGUAUCAUACAUUAAUGGGGUAGAGAAGACUGUUCCAACUGUUCCAAAAUUAAACUCUAAGACAUUAAAUAUUAAAUGUGACAGUCUUUCUGGCUUUGUUCUCCAUGAAAUGAUUUACUACGGAGACAAUAGCCAAAUUGGGUCAUAAACAUACAUAUAAUUUUGGCCAGCUGAGUUGGAAAGGAAUAAUAUUUCAGUCACAGGGAACUAUGUGGGAAAAAAAAACUUAAAAAAGGUCAGGUAGUAAGGGUGGUGAAAGGUGGUAAAAAGUAGAAGAAUAGAAUAUGUGGGAAAUAAUUUGGGAAGCAAAUUAAGCCAUCUCUAGUUAAAGCUAUGUUUAAAAGUCAAGAUAAACUAUUUAAGCUUUAUGAGAUUGAGUUUCAGAGUUGCUGUGAGAUGGGAGUGGAGGGCAGUGGUUUAUCCAGUCCGUGAUUUUCCUGAGAGAACUUAGAACAAUUGGACUCAAAGAAGUCAAUGUGAAUCAUACUUACUGAAAUGUAAUUUCCAAUACAAUGCAAGCACUCUAGGAACAUGGAUAUUGAUUUUGACAAUUAUUGUAUUCCCUUAAAAUGUACCUGUUUUGCAGCAAGCACUAAUAUACUUUGGUUAAAUGAGUGAAUAAAAAGGUCAUACGUUUUAAGCAUUGUGUAAAUAAAUACCUAAACUGGAAGGGCAUCAACAGUGUAGUAGUUGGGUCACCUGAUAAAUACUGGCUGGGUUAGGAAUUGAAAUAAAACCCAGUGCAAAAGGUCAGUAAUAACAUGAGUACCGUGGCUGAAGAGGGUUAAUAUGGUUAAAGUAAGAUAUUAAUUGAAUAUGGCAAAGGAAGGUACAGCAGUAAAAAUAAUUAGGCCAGGCACAUGGGAGUGACUGGAAGAUAGAACUUAUGGGGCUUAACAAGAUAUUAGAUGUGGUGAUGAAAGAGUGGUAGCAAUCAGAUUCAAUUUAGUUAUGGAGAACUAGCCCGGUCCCAUUAAAUAAGAGAAAAGCCGAAUUUCUGGGAAGAGAUUAAGUCUAUAUUAUAUAUUUUGACAUAAAAGAGUUGUGGGACUUUUAUGGAGAGAAUGCAGUUAAGAAAUGCACAAUUUGAAUUCAGGAGUGGUAACUCAAAGUUGGUCUUACAGUUCUGGAGUCAUUGCAGUAGGACAUAUAGUUAAAUCCAUGUCAAAGAAAAGAUGAAGAGCAGAAUAAAAGUGAUAGGAAACAGGCAGGUACUUGUGGGAUGAGAAGGGAUCUGGAAUAGGGAAGAUGGAAGAACAGAGAAGGGAAGGGGAAACAAAUAUGAUUAUGAUUUGAUAUGCAUGUGUACUAGUUCCCAAGAUCAAUGUGAUGAUUCUCUAUCACAGACAUAUACUGAUAAAAAAGAAACUAAGAAAAAAACACGCAAGUAUACAAGUAGAAUGAAAAGAGAAUGAAAGACCAACUCUGAGAAAUUUGAACAUUUAAGGAAUAAUAUAAAAAAGGAUAGACAAAGAUAGCAAGAUAAAUGAUGUAAUAAGUACAAGUCUAUCUUUUAAAAUGUUUCAACAAAGAAAUGAUUUAUAAUCAUCCUAUAUACAUAUUUAAUUACUUUCUAUAUGCGUUAUCUCCUUUAUUCUUCAAAAGAGUCUAAAGUCACCUAAGGAUAAUAAAUGAAAAAUUGAUGUUAAAAAUUUGUUUCAUUUGAUUCUAGCCUCCAGGCUCUAAAGGCAUAUAAUUAUAAAGAUGAGUAAAAUAGAGACUGAGCACUGGUGUUUGGAUUUAACAAUCACUAUAUUGUUGCUUUCUUUGAGAAAAUCUGUUCUAUAGGGAAAUAGAAAAUGGUGCUGAAUCUCAAAGUGUUAAAGUAAUUGUCACUUUACAACAAAGCUAACCUUUUUUCGUUUCCGGAUAUCAAGUUCCCUUAUUUUCAAGACCUCCCCAAGAUGGAUUUUAAUGUCUAUGUUUCUAUCAACAUUCUGAUCAUGACUAUUGGUGUAUUCUCUAAGAAAAUGGAAUUUUUCUCCUCAGAUGUCCCUUUGUACACUCUCACCAUUAUCAUCCUUAAUAUUCUGGCUUGUACUUCAAAUGUCUCACCUUAUCUGUCCAACACUAAGUCCCAAAGCUUAUUCCACGUUUCUAAUUGUUUCCCAUAGCAAAUUUUGUACACAUAAGGAAAUGCAUAUAGUUAUUAUGGAAUGUAACACACUUCCUCCAGUACAUGCUUUGUACCUAACUUUAUGGUCCUGUUGGAACUUCAGUCCAUUUAUAGGUACAACCGUAGAUAUAGGAACAAAUAGAAGGAAAGAGUGGUGGUGGAUGUGAGUCCUGAGGAGAAUAAGCAGUAUCUUGCAUUAUAGGUGUCUAAUUUCUUCAGAAAAUGUGGGGUGGGUUAUUCCUCAGAUGGGCAGAAAGAUACCACUACCACUAGUUUCAGAGAACCUUUUCUACUGGCAAAGAAGACUCAUCAGAACUUAGGGGCACAAUGUUUCCAAAUUCAUUUGGGUCUUCCAACAAGGCACCAUUCCAAUAUACAAGAUCUCAUUUUGUUUUCAAUGAAUAUCUUUUUAACAAUAAACAGUCCUUGGGGCUGAGGUUCAACUUGUGUUAUAAUUCAGCCAAUUGCAGGGUGAGAUUUUGUUUUUGCUUUCUUUUUAUAAGUAAUCUCAGUCUUGUGUCUGCAGUAGAUAACAGUCUUUCAUUACCCACAUAGAAUCUUUUUGGUCUUUCAUGUUGUGCUUGAGCUUGGAAUUCUGUCCCUGACUGCACCUUUCUCCGUUGCAACUUUUUCCAGCUACAUUAGGAACAACCAAUCAAUAUCAUUACAUUCACAAGUUCCAAAAACAGACUGUUUGAAAAUACCAUAACAAAGCUGUCUGUCUUGCUGCUUCAUAUAAACAGUUGAUUUGAAAUAGUCAAUGAAAAUAUUUUACGUACUUUCCUGUGGUUCAUGCCAUAGACUCUCAAUGUUGUCUUUACUAAUAAAAAUGGAGCCCUCAAUAUCUUUGAAUCCAAUUAGAUUAGAAAGCCAUUUCUAGAACUACCAGAAACAUUUUGAAAUAUCAUGCUUAAAAUUUUGUGUCUCUAGAGCCAUUCUCAAUAUCAAACUUGCAUUAAUCUGUGUUCCCUAUAGAGGUAAAACAAAUAGGAAAGAUAGAUAGAUAGAUAGACAGACAGACAGAUAAUAAGGCAUCAUUUCACACAGUUACAGUCUGAGAUGUCCAAAUAUCUUCAGUCCACAAUGUAAAAGGUAGAGACCUAAGAAAACUGAGAAUAUAGUUCCAGUUUGUGUUCUAAGGUCUGAAUACCAGAAGACCCAUUUAGUUCCACUGUAAGCAAUAGUAAAAAGUAGAUUAGUGGCCCAGUUUGGACAUAUGGAAGCAAAGAGAGAAAAGCUUCUCUCCUACUCUAUGCUUUUUUCUAUCCAGGACUUCAGGGGAUUGAAUGGGCCCCACUCAAAUUUGGGCAGACCAUCUGCUUUGCUGAUUCUACUGACUCAUAUGUUAGUUUUAACCAGAAAUUCUCUCAAAGGCAUCUCCAUAAUAAUUAACCAAAUAUCUGGGUACCUAUGUCCAGCUAAGUUGACAUAUAAAAUUAACCAUGACAAUUGGGAGAGAAGUAGAGGCAAUUAUUAACACUAAUACACACACACACACACAAUUACUCUAAACUUAAAAGAACAUUCCUAGCAAUCUAUAAAUAGAAAGUGAAGCAAUGCCUAUGUUAAAAAUCUUGAGAGAAAAAUAAUAAGCAUCAAUAUUUGAAGUACUGCAGCUAUUUCUGAAUUUCAUAAAACUUCAUUGUUACAGCAAUGUUGCAUUGCUACAUUGUUACAAUAAUAUUACAGCAAGAGGGAAGAAUUGUCAGAUUUUAAAAGAACUGUCUCUGAAAUGUACAAAAAUUAGAUUUAUACUUAUCAUUAAACUCUUUGGCUCAUUUCAAUCAGAUAUAUAAAAAGAAAUAAAGGUAAGCAAUUUUACUCAGACUAGUUUAUACAAUGCUACAUGAAAUAAUUGUAGGUUUAUACACAAUUGGACUUUCAACAUUCAUGUGGAUGCUUGAGAUCCUUGGAUUAUGGAAAAGAAAAUGAACAAUUCCUUAGAUGGUCUUAUUUAUUGCCUUAGUUACAGGUAGUUUACUUCACAGUUCAGCCUCCUCAACUGAAGAGCAGUGAUGUCUUCGCUUUCAAGGAUUUUAGCCUGAGGAUUAUGAAUGGACUUCAGCUGGGCCUGAGGGCUAUCUUGAAAUUAGACAUAAAAUAGUGAAUGUAUGUACGUUUGCUAAGAAAAAGUUCCGUAGUUUUCAUCAGGAUCUUUUACUGCCCAUCAAUUUUCUUGUUGAGGUGAGCACGAUCUGCUUUCAAAAGUAGUAAUUUUAACACAUCUUUGAUUUGGUGAAAAUGACCUUGUCAUACAGCUGUAGUUUUUUAAAAAAGUAUAUGUUUUUAUUUUGCACAGUACAUUUUUUCGAGAAUUCCUUUAUUUAUUUUUAAAAUCAAAGCAGCUAUGCAAUGCCUGCAGUAUAUGAUUUGAGGUACUUUUAUUUGGUAACUUAGGAGGAAGAGAAAAAGUGGCUUUGAAAUCAUAAGGUUUUUAUUUGGAGAAGUGAUGAAAUGUGGUUGUUCCUAUGCAGUAAGCAAAAAGGACUUUCUAACCUUGGAAUCUGACUGUUUUCUAUUUCACAGGAGAGCAAUAGCAACAUUUAAGCUGUGGUCAAUUUUUACAGUGUGACUUUUCAAAAAUCAUUAAUUAGCAAUACAGACAUAAAACAUAACACAGGGACACCAAAAUAUAUAACUCAAGGCUCUGAAAUGCAACAUUUGCAUCAGAUAUAAUUACAUUAAACUAAACAGCCACCCAGAUAUUCAGAUCCAUGAAACCGUUGGAGAAGAAAAAAAUCUAAUUAGUAACUCAUAAGGGUUUUAACAAAAUGACUUGUCUGGAUUUUGACUCAGUGUUUGUAACUAGUUAUCUUUUUUUAUAAAAUACUAAAAUCAAAUGUAAAAAACACUAAUGUGUCACCACAUCCAUAUACAAACACAAAUAUAUGUAUAUUUAUUCUUAAACUUCUUCUAAUUAUUCUUUACCUAGAAAUUCAUAUUUCUUCAAAGUAAAAAUGUUCUAUUCCAAUGAACUCUGUUUUUUCAAAUUAAAUAAAGAUUCCUUAAAUUGUUUGGUGCUUGCUACAAUACAUAAUCCCCUAAUUUUGGUACUUCCUCCAUUCAAAUCUAUCACCUGUCCACAUUUCAUUUUCACGCAUUGAUAUGGAUUUUUUCAUCUCCAGAACUUGUAACUAGUAACUGUAAGAAAUUAAAGUGUGGGGGAAUUCAUCUGUGGUAAGCCUGAAGGUUAGAGACAUCUGGGUACAGUAAGAUUAAGCAACAUAGCAAAGACCUUAGAAUUGGAUACCUGGAAUUGAUCUCAUUUAUGUCAUGUGCCAGUUUUAACCCUUAUGAUAUUUCAUUUAUCUUUGCACACUGUUUCUCUUUCAACUGAAUAUGAUAUCUCUUCUAACUUCCAUACUUCAUAGCAAGAGCAUCAAAUGUGAUUAUAUUAGAAUAGUUUUAACUGUAUAAAAAUAUAUGGAUGUACUCGGUGGAUGUUUGAAGCCACUGUUUUAAGUAAAUGUUUAAAAGCUACCCCCCCUUUCUUCCUUGCCUCUUUGUGUCCUUUCCACUCACUUUUCUGUCUUCACAGCCUCUGUCACAAUCUUCACAAUAAACCGCUAAUAAGUUUUAAAGUACACGAUUCAUUCUUGAACUGGGUCAGUGCUAUACUUUGAAUAGUUUGUCUCCUUCAAUACAUAUUAAUAUUUACACACUAAGAUAUUAAAAUGUAAGACCAGGGGAGAAUUUUAAGAAGUGAUUAGAGCUCUGUUCCCUUCAAUUGAGUAAUCAUUUCAUGAAAUUAACAGAUUAGUAGAUUUCUGGGUUAUUUGGAGAAUGGGUCUUCUACAAAAGCCAGCUCAGCUUGAGUCUCACACACUCCCUGUCUCUUGCCCUGUGAUACUCAGCACUGUCUUGGGACUCUGCCAUCAGUGGAUGCAGACCUUUGACCCUUGACCAGAUGUAUGAACCCAAAGAACCUUUUUGAGUGAAAAUAAUUUUUUUUCUUUAUAGCUUAUAUAAAGUCUUUGGUAUUGCAUUAUUAGGAACAGAAAUGAUAUGAUUUACUGAUUUAUAUGAAAAAAUGCAUGGAUGCCUUAUUUCUGCCACAGAAAUAAGUGGGAAAACAAAUAUUAAUCUGGAGGGGUGUGAAUGGUUAAGCAAAUCACUGUAUAGAGGUUUUCCAUAAAAUUUCUUUGUUUUGACUACACUUGAUAGCAAACAGGUGGAGCAGGAGGAAGAAGAGCUGCCAAAGAUAAGUGGAUCCUGGCACAUAAAGCCUUUUGUGGCUGUGACAAAUGUUUCGGUGCUCCAUUGCCACACACAGACACACUUGCAGACACACACACAAACUCACACACACACUUAAAGGCUUAAGCAGCCUCUAUGUUAUGAACAUGUAUCAAGAAAAUAAAUAUUUCUCAGUUCAAACUUCUUUGUAGAAGCCUGAGUUAGCUGCACUGUCACUCAACUUUUAUGAAUUCGUAGAAGCAAUGCAGUGUUGCUGGUUGCUCUUGUUGCUAAUAGACUUCAGUCCACUUACAUCUUUGCCUGGUACAUUGCUACGUGAUAUCCCUUCUCUACGGGAAAGUUGAUGGUACCAGGUCUGCCAGCCUGGAUUUUAGUUUUGGCUUUAUUAUUACUCAUUUAGCUAAUCUUUGAUUAUGUACUUAUUAUAUAACUCUGAAAUUAUGUUUUCCAAGGGGAAAUGAAUAUAGUUUUUAAGAGAAACUCUGAAACAGUACUUCUUAAUUUAUAUCUCUACACUGGGUAAAAUAAGGAUAAUAAAAGUAUGGACUUCGUAAGACUAAUAGGAAGAUAAAAUGUGCCCAUAAAUGAAAGAGGAUCAUGCCUCAUGUGGCUACUGGAAAUAACGGACACUACAAUUAUUUAAUAACUGGCUCAAUAUGGUACUAUUUUACAUAAUUAUAGAGGUUAACAGUAUACCUUUAUAAAUACAUGACAUUAGUAGUUGUGUCUAUUUUAAUGCUUAGAAUUUGCUUAAGAGUAUGCACUAAAAAGUUGUAAACCCAUUAAUAGAAAAUAGGAUUUUAAAAAGUAGUAGCUAACUAUAACCAGUUCCACUGAGGAUACAUGAAUGUUUUAUAGAGUUCAUGUGUUGUUUGCUUUGCUAACUUGAUCUGUCUUGAAAAAUGCCAAAGGGAAUAAUGAAUAGAUUUGGAAUUUUAUUAGCAGGAAAAAGUUUUUUAAAUGUUCUCAGGUAGUCAGAAAAUAAGACAUGUUUUCAUAAAUACCAUUUUUAAUGAAGUAAGCACAUAACAACUACUUCAUAUACUUUCUAAUAUAUGAAGAAAAGAGGAAUCUAGCUCUAAUAUAGAAGAAGUCAGAGUCUACUAUUGAUAAAUGGUGAUCACAGAGGUCAGAUCCCAAACUCAGAGUUAAAGCAAAUAACCAAAGAAACUCAACACCUCAUUGUCACCUUGUAGACAGAAACCAAGCUACAAGUCAGCACUAAUAGGUUUUGUGAUUUUUCCUCAACCAGAAAUAUAGCAAUCAUCUUUUCUUUUCUCCAGAAACAUAGAAAAUGUUUUUCUCCAGCACCUUGUUUUUGUUUCCCUCUAUCUGCUGUCAUUUCCAGAGUAGGCAAUUACUUAUUUCAUUGAAGAAAAAUUGAAAACUAUUGGAUAGAACCAGAUUGUAACUAAACUGAAAACUUUCUAGUUGUUUCACUAAAGAAAAACCACAUACUGUAUCAGGAAUUGCUUUGGAUAAAUUUUUCAAUUCAAAAAAAUAAAUUUGAUUUUUUUCUUUACAUUUUACAAAAGGUCAAAGAUAGCCUCAUAUUAGUUGUGGAGUGAUAUAACAGGAGCGGGGCCAAUGUCUCAAAUUUUUCUUGGCAAUUUAGGCAAUGUCAGCUUAUCACUUCAGAGAUACAAAACAACCACUAUAACUCAGUAGGAAAAAGGAUGAGAAAAAAUAAGAUUCAGCCACUGUUGUCCCCUUUUAUGAAGCCAAGCAAUCACUUUUCCAGAAACCUCUUUAGCAAAGUUCUCAGUGUGUGUAUGUCAAAAGCCAGAACUGGAUUGAUGAUAUGAUGUUAUAAUUUUCUCUGGCUCCUAUAGCAAAAUACCAUAGGCUAGAUGGCUUAAAAGUUGAAAAUUAGUUUCUCAUAAUGUUGGAGGUGGAAGAUAAAAGAUUGAGUUUUAACAGUAUUUGAUUUUGGCGAGGGUACUUUUUCUGAAUUGGAAAUAGCCACCUUUUUUGUUCUCACACGAUCUUGCCGCAAAUUAAGAGAGAUCUUUAGUGUCUUUCUUCUUAGUGGAAACAAAUUUAAUCAAAUUAGGCCUCAACUUUGUAAUCUCAUUUAAUAUUAACUUGUCUCCUUAAAAGUCCUAUCUCAAAAUUAUAAUUGCGUUAGAUUUAAUGGCUUCAACAUAUGAAUUUUGAGGGGACACAAUUUAUUCCAUAGCGUGUGACCCACAGUUGCAAAGAAUGCUGGAGACUGAGAUCAGAAUGUAUAUGUUUGGCUUGGAAAAGUAUUUCUCAUCUUGGAUUCAAAGAUUAUUUGUUGUAGGCAGUCUCCUCUCUGUUUUAUAAUGUUUGCUAGUUUCCAUACCUAGUAGAUGGUAGUAGUUAAUUUCCCCCAAUUCCCAUUUCCAAGCUGUGACAACCAAAAAUGUCUCCAGACAUUGUCAAAUGUACCCAGCGAAAGAGGAAAGGCCAAGGACCAUUUCCCCACUUCCUCAAUUGAGAACCACAGACUUAAUCAUAGCCAAGCCUUAGUAAUGGAUAUGUUGCCACCUUCAACAAGAUAAGAGAUUCUCUUACUUAAAACAUGAAUAUAUUCUGGGGAAAAGAUUAUGAGGGAAAAUUGGAGAGAGACAAUUAACAGUUUGUUACCUGACUCCCACUGUCUUGGUUAAGUUUUCAGGGAAGGGAAAGAUGACAUAAUGCCUCUUGUUUAAUCAAAUAUAUUUAUUUUGUCUAAAACUUCUUUUAUGGAUCUUUAAUUUCCCAAUCAAUAUAAUCAAAAUUCCUAGUCUAAUGCAUCCAAAUACUCAACUUCAUAUGUACCAUAAACAAUAAAGCCAAGGCUACUGCUUCAAGAUUUAUGGAUAUCCAGAAUAGAGUUACAAAUUGAAGGCCACUAAGUGAAUAAAUCUAUGCUUACCUCAGAUCUUUGAAUUUGCUCUGCUUAUGCUAGAAAAAGUGGAAUUAAAAUACCUUCCAAUAAUGGCAAAAUAACCCACCCAUAGAUUACUGACCAUAGAUAACAGAAAACUGACCAGAGUUGAUAUAAGAAGAAAAUAUUAAUGCUAUCUCCUAAUAAGUAAAUCAACAAUAAACUCUGGUGGUUUGAUAUAGUUUUCCUUCCCUUUUUUCACUGUCUCCCUCCACUGGGUGCUAUGGUUACUUCUCUAAGAUUACCAAACUCUUGUAUAUUUUCAAACUGUGAUUUAAAUGAUGACUUCAACCCCUGGCAUCAAAUCAACCUUGUUGCCUUCGCAGUGAAAGCUGUUGCUCCUCUUGCUUUUCCUUACCUCAGGGCUUUUUAAAUUGCUUUUUCUUGCCUCAUUUCCACACCCAGAUGUUGGCUACCCUUUGUGAUAUAAGAACUAUUGCACUGAACUGCUACCAUACUACUCUGGUGAGUAUCUUCCACCCCAUCCCUUAUAUUUAUUUUCUGACUUCCUGAACAUAAUUUUUCAUUCACUACACAUCUGCCUCAGAGUCUUCAGCUCCACUUCAACUCUUGCUGUCAUUCUUGCAUUUUAUGUGCCUGUCUCAUUCAACCCUAACUAGUUAGUCUCUCAAUUCUUAAGUAACUCACUCUGUGCUUUCUCAUAGCCAACCACUCUCACAUCAUUGACUGAUUAUUCCAGCUUUUCAUUAUAAUAUCCAAUACUUUUAAGUCUUCAUUCAAGGACUUUCAUUGGACGGAUUAUUUGAACUAAUCAGUGCCUUAAUGCCUUUGAUCUCACCAUCUCUUUCACACUGCAGUAGUCUUCUUAUUCAUGAAAGCUAUGUUCCAAAACCCCCAGUGCAUGCCAAUAAACCCUAAAUGUUACUCGAACAGAAGCUCCACAGUUUCCAGAAGAGUUGUUCCUAUAACCAAGAUGGCUGCUAAGUAUAAAACCAGCAGGCAGUGUGCACAGUGUGAAUUUCCUGCAGAAAGGGAUGACUCAAUUGCAGAUGGGACAGAGUGGGAUAGCACACAAUUUCGUGCUACUCAAAAUGGCAAACAAUUUAAAACUUAGGAGUUACUUAUUUCCUGAAUUCGUCAAUUAGUAUUUUUGAACCAUAGUUGACUACAAGCAACUGAUAAUAUGAACAAAGGAGGACUAUUUUAUUCAUCAUAUUUAACCCUGGCCUAUAAAACACAGUUUAGCUGCUAAGCUUUUAUACUCAGACUUCUCUAAUUGCUCUCUAUUUGCUUGCCUUUUUUUCCCUGCAUCUUUCUUGAUGACAAAACUUCAACUGAGAAUCUACCUAAGCGUUCUCCUUUCUGAUAACUAUAUCCCAACAGUAAAACAUUCUUUAAAACAAUUAUUCAAAAAGACUCAUUGCUUUUGCCUUAAAUACAUGAUCAUAAAAUGUCCAAUGUUAUGUUGUGUUUCUUUUGCAUGUGCACAUUAUCUUUUUCAAAAUGAUUUUUAUCUUAGACCAUGCACUCUGUAAAUUAUGGUCUGUCUUUAGCAAAAUCUACUACAUCUGUUGUUUUCACAAAAAUCUUCAUAUUUUCUGCUCUAAAUGAGUUAUUUUUCCUCCUCUAGGUCUCUAAUCUAGAGAAGGUCUCUGCUACUUCAAAUAUCUCUAACCUCUUUUAAAACUUUUAUGAGAUUAGAUGUGUGCUACCAAUAUAAUCCCCUUUUGAUCAGUUUAAAGUCAAUUUUUUAGAGAUAUAAAGACAUCUACAAAAAUCUCUUUACCUUUGCCUUGCAGAGUAUAGAGUAAUAUAGUCAUAGUCUCUGGUCCCACCCAAAGCAAGUGAUAACACAGGGUGUGUGUCGAGGGGAGGGUGUGUGUGUUGGGUCAGAAAUUUUAUCCCAUUGUGGAAUUCUACUGUUAAUACAGAAACCUAUUCUCCAAAACAAAGGUAGCAAAUUUGCAUAAAAAAUAUAAAUUGCAGCUCAUUGAAAUAGGUUGAGUUUUUGACAUAUCAUGAAUUAGUAAUGAUUCUUAAAUUAAAAAAGAUUCUGGAUGCAGUAAGAUAAUGUUAAUGUAAGAUUAAGUGAAGAAGGUUGAACAUGUUUAAAGUUUUAUAAAUUUUAUAAAUCUUACUGUUUGUUUAUUAUAAUUUUAAUUUAUAGAUGUCUAAAUUAUAAAUAUGUUCUUAUAUAUGUGUACUUAGGCAAACCACUUUCCAAGUUGACUAUUUUACAUCUAUUUUGUCAAAUAUUCCACAACAACCCCACUCUGUUCACAUUUCAUAAUCUGACAGCUUCCCUAGGAAAAUAGAAAGAGUUCAUAGAAAACAUAUCUCUCUCUCCUGCCUACCCUCCCCCGCAAAAUACCCCACAAGUAUCUGAUUUUCUGUGGAUUUGCAGCUUCUCUUCUGACUGAAGACAACUUUUCCAGAUUUACACUCUGCUUCAUCCCUAUAAUCUAUCAGAAGAACUGUGCCCCUUUGGUUACCCCAGACCUUGGUUAAGUCAUACCACUCUUCUUUGUUUGGGAUAAGUUCCCUUGCAGGCUAUCAUGUUGUAAUGCCUCCUAGCAUAAGCAAGCAAAGAGAAAAAGCAACAUUUCCUCGCAUUACAUUCCUCCAUUCCUCUUUCUUCCAAUGCUGCUUGGUUCCAUGUGUACAUCUCAUUCUUCAGUUUGAUGCGAUUAGUAUCUCAUCCCCAGCUAACCUCCUGGAACUUUUUAUCUCAUUCCUUUCCCCUAGUUACUAAAAUUUCCAUCUUGUAAGCAUUGAUGUUUGAUUUUCAGCCCUAAUUUGCUUGGACUCAUUAUUUUAAUUUGGGAACAAAGACUUGAUUCCUUCCUUCUUAGAAAUCCAUCCAUCAUUGGAACUUCAAAACACUGCACGCAUUACCUUAUUUCCUGCUUCACCGAUCUCCUUUGUGUUUUUUCCACUUUUUUCUUGAUUGUUCAUAAGUGUAUUUUCCUAAGGUAGAGUGCAUUCUUUUACUUUUAAAUAUUAUAACUAUACUCACUUUGAAAAUUACCUCAUUCAAUCAUUUGAUUUCAUUCGGAAUAUAAUAUGCAUAUGCUAAUGGCAUCCAUAUUUAUCUCUCCUUGCUAAGCUCCAGUUAUAACUCAUCUAAAACAGAAUUCCUCAUUACCUGCCCCCUCAACCUGAGUUUUUCACAUAUUUGUAAGCACCAUCAUCUUGUUUGUGUUUGUGUGUGUGUGUGAUCAAACCAUGGAUUCCUUUCUUUUUCUUGUAUUAUAUACCCAAGGUAUCAACAAGUUUUGUCAACUCUAAGAUAAACCAGGCCAGAAGUACUCAUAUAGUUUUUAAAAUGUAAAUCAGAACAUUAUCACUCUCUGCUUAAGCCCAAACUUAGAAUAAAAUGUAAGACCAGCUGCCUUUAAGGCUGUACCUCCUGACUCUCUUUGUGACUUCAGCUCCCAACCUCUUUUUAAACACAUGGAUUUCAGGGCCAUGUAGCCCAUUUCCAUGUCAGGAAUAUUGUACCCACUGUUAGUUCUGACUGAAACAUACAUCCCUUAUGCCAUUACAUAGCUGACUAUUACUUUCUUCAAUAUCUACACAAAUUUCACCACAUUAGGGAAACAUCUUCAUAACCAAAUGGAUGAUAAAAUACACAAUCUCCACAAACACAGUCUAGUCUUUCAUGUUUGUAUUUUUUUCUUCAUAGCAUUAUUCAACAUUUUACAAUCUUAUUGUAUAUUAAUUGAUUUAUUUGUAGAAUGUCUCUAAAAUUAGAACUGAGAGCUAUAAGGCUAGGGACUUUUUCAGAUUUUCCAUGAAUGAUCAGUUAGUAUUGAUUGAAUUAAUAAAUGAAAAAAUUGUGUACCUUAUAAAAUAGGAAACUACUUUGAAUUAAAUCAUACACCCCUGGUCCCCAAAAUUCAAGGCCAUGGGCCUCCAAGUUUCCAGUCCUCGCUAUUUUUCUAGGACUCCCUUCCUCUUUCUUCUAUCAUCUCUCUUCUGUAGUUUUGCUUUUCCCUUUCCUCUCCAUAAUAGUGAGAAAUAACAACAAAGCUUCCCAAUUCCCUAUUAUUUUAUUAAAAAAUCAGUUACUUCCCAGAUGUUAUUGAGGACUUCAUUAGUAAACCUAUGUCAUUGGAGAACCUUCAUAAAUAAAUGUUCCACCUUCAUAGAGGCUAUGCUGGUCUCAUAUGGUGCUCAUGUUGGAAUUGUCACCUCUCUCUCCCCUGUCUCAUCUUUCUUUUCUACUCUAAAAUGGGAUAUAUUAUAAUAGAGAUAUGGCAAAGUUGGCUACUGCGGGAAGCACCAAAGCUACAAGGUCAUGCUGUCUCCUAAGGCAGCCUUUUUCAAUUUCCAACAGCUCUAAUUUUAAGAAUGCUCUUUUUAUAUGAUGAGCUAAUAUUUGCCUGGCUAUAUAACUUUGAUCCAUUGGUCCUAUUUCUGCGGGCUGGGGCUCCUAAGCAUAACUAUUUCCUGAGCAGAAAUAGCACAGCUGCUUAACACCUCCCAUAUGCUAUUGCUUUAUAUAGUUGAAAAUUGUAAAUUCCCCAGCCUCUAGCACCUCAACCAUGUACUUUGUCAGCCUUCUGUUCUCUUUUGUAAAUAAAUUCAGCUUCAUAGCCUUUCCUCAAAUGACUCAUUUCCGAAACAAUGAUUACUUCUUUUAGUGAACUCAAGAGAAGGGACAGAGCCCUUUCUGGGGAACUGAGCUAUUUCUGUCUGCUAUUAUUAUUACUAUUCAGGGAAGGAAAUGUGUAAUGUGAUGGAUUAUAAAAUCUCAUUUUAAUAACUUAAUUAUUCAAUUGCUGUUUUGGAAAGUAGCACAUGAGUAUUGGCUCAUUAAAUAAACAUUCUCAAGUGUCUCACAAGGCAUAAAAUGUUUUGCCAAAACUAAAAUAAGUACAAGACAUUGCUGCUGCACUCAAAUGGUUUGGUUCAGAUUGUGCCACUGCUAAUUUUUAUAAUGAGCUAUAAAACAUCAUUUGAUUUAUUUAGUAGCCAAUGGUGUUAAAGGACAUGUGUGCAUUUAGCAGAAUCCUUAAUGUACCUUCAGGGUUAUGGUGUCCCAGGACUGAAACGUAAGGGGCAUGUCACCAGGCUCUCUUCUUGGUGACAGAUCCUGCACUUCAACACCCCCAUUUCAGCCCCUCCUGGGUAAAUGGCAGUGAUAUUCAUUCAUUAACUUGUGGGUUAUAAGCUAAUUUAGGGGGAAAUGCUAUUAUAGAUUUGGAUGAGUUCCAUUAAACUCCAUUAAAACUUUGACUCUAGGAUGCAUUAAAAAAGCUUCAAAGUCAGUCAAUCAAAAAAUUGAUGGAGUAUAUAGAAUGGAAUAUUAAAUGGAAUAUUUGAUAUGAACUAUUAAAUCUUUCAAAGAAAUUCAUCAGAGGCUCUCAAUACACUUUUUUGCCAAUUUUAGAUAGAGAUGGUUGUGUCCUACUGUAUGCAUCUGUGUUAACAUGAGUGAUUAGAAAUAGUAUAAGAUACUUCAUUAUGUUCUCUUUUUGAACACAAUGCAUUUGCACUCACUAGUAUUGCCUAACAGUUAAGAAAGGAAGGUGUUUAAAUAUCUUUGAAGUCAUAAAUAUGUGUAACAUUUCAAAAAAGAAAUUAAGGUUCGCUAUGUUCCAGGAAACUGCCAGAACGAUCUAAUCACAUUUUAUUUACUUAAUAUUAUUUUUGAGGUAAGUACUACUUUUUAUUUUCCCCAUUUUACAUUUGACAAGAUUGAGACUCACAAAUUUAUUCAAAUUACCAGUAUGAUUUAUCAAAACUAGUAUUUAGAUAUAGAUAUGCUAAAUCCCAGCAAUAGAGUAGCUGUCCUUAAUUCAAUAUUCCAGGCUGACUGCUGGACAGUAAUUAUUAUUAUAAUUCAGUUGCAGUCUUUACAAUAUGUUGCUAGUUAAAUUUGAGUAGAUAAAUAUGAACAGUGAAUUAAUCGAUCUCUCAUGGAUAGUUUUUCCAUAAAAAUGCAAUUUAACCACAAAUAGUGUAUAAAAGUCAAGGAAGGAAAUAAUGUUUAUUGCUAUAAUCUUGAUAAGAUUUAUAAUUUUUAUGGAAACAUAUUUCUUUCAAGUGUAGAGAAAACAGGAUUCAUCCCAGGGGGUUAACUAGUUUUCUCACAUAUACACAGCCAGUAAAGCACAUAACCAAAAUCAAACCUGUGUCUACCUGCCCAUAAUAACCAUUUUCUGUGGAUAUACCCAAAGCUGACCUAUGCAGUGUGAUUACAAUAUACACUAAAUAUUUAAAUUAAAAUAAUUUAUUACACUGAAAAUCACAUUGCCACUAAUCCACCUAAAAUGCCCCUUUUUGCGUCAAACACACUGUUCUCAUCAUUCUUGUAACUUUCUGAAGGAGUUCUAAUGUCCAUUUUUGUGUUCUUACAAGGUAUGUUUGAAAAUAUGGUGAAUGUGGCUGUCACUAACCAUCAACAGGAAGGAGGGCUUGGCUUGUAAAAAUAUUAAAGUUUGAUCUCAUCCACCUUACUUUCUGGGUUUGGAAACAUACUACUUCUGGCUCUUCUUCAUAGUCAAAAUGAAUAUGCAAAGUAAAUGUUCUGAAUCUUUUCAGGACAUUGAGGCAGUCAGGAGAGUGCAAUUUAAAGACAUGAAAGAACUGCUUCAGAAAGUGGUAAGAGUGAAGGGAUAACUUUGUUCAAAGAGUAUUUUGAGGGAGAGUAUUUUGAGGGGGAAUAGUGACAAUGUGACUUUUGCUGUAAUUUUUUUUUUUUUUUGGUACCAGGGAUCGAACUUGGGACCUUGUGCUUGUGAGGCAGGCACAGGAACCACUGAACUAAUAUUUUUAAAUAUUAGCCCAUAUUUUUUAAAAUUUAAACAUUCACCAUAUUUUUGGAUCAUACCUCCAAUGUUUUAUUUCAGUUUUAUCUUUCAAAUAAUCACAUUUUUGGACAAACUUUAAUUAGGAUAGAUGUUUUGUUUUUGAGAGGUGAUAAAAACAUAGCAAAGGAAUGUUUAAUAAAAUAAAAUUUCCAUUAAAUUUCUUCUAAAAAAUAAUUACAUGUAUCACAACGUCCUCUUGAUUUCAGUAUGGGUGAAUGAUUAUAGGGGAUGAAAAAGCCAAAUCUCACAAUUUCCAUGGAUUAUUAAAAAAAUAGGGUUUUUUUCUUCUCUUGUGGAAUCUGAUGUGGACCAGGUUAUUUCACUCCAAACAAUGUCUCAAGUUGUGUAAUUUAACUAUUUCAUCUGGAAGCCAUGCCGCUAAAGUCCCCUCAGAGUCAUCAUCAGCUUACUAUCCAGGUAGGAUAAUUUUAAACACUAGGCCUGAUAAUGUUUAUCUCACUUUUAUUCACAUCCAUUGACCAGAACCUGGUCAAAUGGCCUCAAGAUAACUAUGCAAGAUGAUGGUGCCUGCGCAGGAGGAUGUGUGUAUUUUAUAUUCUGUGCCACAUUUCAAUAAGUAUUCAUUUCGCAGAUUCCCUCUUCCUGACAGGGACCUAAAUAAAUUGGACACAUACAUGAGCUAUUGUAGUCUAUCAAAAGUUAUUAUUUCUUUUAAUAAUAUACUUCCUCAAAAUAGUCUAUUAAAACAAAUUUUUAUUAUAAAAUAAAAUUGAGUAAGGAAAUAUUUAAUAAUGCUGAAUGAAUUUUAAAGUACCAUAGAAAUAAAACGACAAUGUACCUGUGCAUUCAUAGAUCAGUAGGUACUCCUCAUCGAAACAAGAUUUUCUUUUAAUUCUAGGUGAGGUGAAUAGAGAAAAGAGAUUUAAUCUUAUAUCUCUGCUCUUUGGUUUAGUUCUGUCUCCAUGUGAACCACGAUCACAAGUGUGUAUGUCUUUAGUUCAUUCAGCCAUAUGUUCUCUUUUGUGUAGUUAGCUUUAUAAUACAAAUACGUUAUGGCACACUUAAUAGUUAUUUGAUGUAAAGAAUGUCUGAAAUCCUCUAAAACAUUAAACAAACGUGUGUGAGUAGGUAGCUGAUGCUUAAAUUUAUUUCAAAACAUAUCUAAUUGGAAAACAAUUCAAUGUGUCUUUUUACUUACUUUCAUUGUAGAAAAUUAUCUUUUCCACCUUUUCCUGUCAAGGAAAAUGGUUGGUGACAUUUUUUUCUUUCUUUUUAUCCAAAAGGCAUAUUGAUUUUAAGAGGAGACUAAACAAUAGCAUUUUGUUUCAGCCAGUCUAUUUCUUUACUAAGGUUCUAAAUUUCAGAGCUAUCAUAUUGGACAGUAUUUUGGGGUGUAGGGGCUGCAUGCCUUACCCAGCUUGUUUGAAUGUCCUUUAGGAUUACUUUUUCUGAAUCCAAACCACAUAAGUAUUAUAUUAAAUAUUAUGGAAGGAGAUGAGAUUUUAAGAGAGCAGCCAUAAUGUCAUAAGAGAACUAUACACUGAAAAUAUGAGGAAAUAGAGUAAGAGGAAAAUUGCUUUUAUGUGCUUAAAGUGACAGAAAAAUGGCACUUCAAAGGUUAUUUUUCUAGGCUACAUAAUGAUGCUAUUUAUGAAACUGAGAAAGAAGCCAUACAGGUGUAAAUUAAACAAAAAUGAUGUAUUUGUAGAUAAUUUUUGUAGGUAUGUUAUAAAUAUCUCAUUACUCAAGCCCUUUCUGAAUUAGACCCCAAAAUGGGAAUUUAUAAGUUUAAAUUAGUUUCUGUCAUAAGAUACUCAACAGAAGCAUGUACAAAUGAACUGAAACCUCUGGUAUGCUAAAUGUAAGGUAUGUGAGUGAAAGGUACCUGCUAUAUCUGUCAAUACUAAGAUCUUACAGCAUACCUGGCCUUGGAUUGAAUAGUAGAAUUAAGCAGGUGAUACUCUGGAAUUAUAAAACUAAUAACAUUUACCUAUUUUUUGUUUGGUGCUGGAGAUCAAACCCACCACCUUACUCAUGCUAGGCAAUUGCUCUAUGAAUGAGUUACAUCCUCAGACCAGAAUUAAUAACCAAAUUCAGUACAGUACCUGGGUACAAGUUCAACACACAGAAUUAGUGAACUUUUAAAGAUCUAUAAUUAAACUAUGUGCAUCUGUGUCUGCAUGGAGGGCUGUACACAUACCGUGUGUGUAUGUGUGCAUGUAUACAAUCCUUAUUUCAUUUGUGAUAAAGAUAAUUGGUAUCCUCAGAGGCCAAAGGAUAUUCACUUUUCUUGCUGGGGUAGCUAAUUCCAACCACUUUGUAGAUUUUUUGAAUGUCUUACCGACCUUCCUAUAAGAUCCUGUGUCCAUUCUUACUUUUAAAAUAUUGUGUUGCUGAUAAUAAUUAAUUUUGCUUGCUAAUAAUACUUUGCAAACUUGUAUGAACUAUCUAAUUUUUUUUCUAUUCAAACACUCCUAAGAGAGCUGUAUAUUUUGUUUGUACUGGACUUUCCUGGGGGCACCUAAGAGAUUUAUGGGUCAGUUCAGUCAGGAAGCAGUCUAAACACAAUGUGCUAUGUCCACAAGUGGGUUAAAAUAAAUGACAUGAGCACUUUUUACAGCAUAGUAAGCCACAAUGUUUGUAUUCUGUGACUCCAUAAUCAAGAAUUGAUUGCAAUUCUCAUUUCAAAUAAAUGCACUUAGUACUAAUUAUAUAGAGAUAUAUAUUUAUGAAUAUUUGUAGGAUCUACCUACUGGGAUAGAAGAGAGUGAUUAUCAUUCUAGGAUUGAUUUGGACCAUUUCCUGCUCCAGGCUCAUUUUGUAACCUUCCUUUUGUGGAAACAACACAACUAUACUUCCAAAAGCCCACAGUGCUAUCAAGAAAGUAAUAUCCCAGAGCUUCCUAACUUGAAAAUCUUUUUUUCUUUGUUUUUGUAAUAUUGGCUAUGAACAUUUUGGUUCUGAUAGCUUUGUCCUAUUCCCCUAGAUUUAGGUAUUGUUCUCAGUUACAAAUUCCCCCAAAGAAAGGCAUUUGUGUAAUGAAAUGUUCACACCUAUUCUCAUUCCAGACCCUGAUACUUGGAAGAGCCUCAACGCUAGCCCAUCUGGUAUAAAUGCAUUCUCGUUCUCUUUAUAUUUUUUUAAUCCUUUUGAUAUUAUACUUUUCUUUUUAUUAGUAUUGUACAUGUUUGCAGUAUUAAGGAUUACAUUCAUCACAGGAAGUUUGUACAUGUGCACAGUCCAUCUUAAUUCUUGUUACAUCUCUUUCCUCUCCCCUCUCCCCAUCUCUUGGCCCCAUUCUCUUUCCUGCUCAUCACAUAGAUGUUCAUAGUCUCCUUAAGAAGCUCUCCUUGCCAAAAUAUGUUGUUUCAGGAAUGUAGAAACUAAAGUUAACAGGACAGAAUUUGGCUUAUGUUAAGAAUAUUUUAAUCUGUCUUAGCCUGUCAUUAGGCAUUAUACUUAGUCUAGGAUCAUGAUGGAAUCAUUCCUAGUGUCACUAGAGGCAGGAUGCUGGGAGUCUCUAUUUUACUUACUGUCACUAUGACCCUCAAUCAAAUCAGUUUCUAGAAUUGGUCUGCUAAGUCUCUUAACUUCCUUUCUUUCCAUCCUUUCUGUUCCUGCCCUAGUCAAUGCCCUCAGCUCAAGAUCCUCUUAAAUGCUUUAAUUUUAGGCUGUGUUCUUUUUCAUCAAAUCUCAAGACCAACUGGCUCCAAAU
rnacentral:lncRNA from 1 species